UCCAAUCCCAAAAGCCGGCCUCAGUUCGGACUGGGGUCUGCAACCCGACCCCACGAAGCUGGAUUCGCUAGUAAUCGCGCAUCAGCCAUGGCGCGGUGAAUACGUUCCCGGGCCUUGUACACACCGCCCGUCAAGCCAUGAAAGCCGGGGGUGCCUGAAGUCCGUGACCGCAAGGAUCGGCCUAGGGCAAAACUGGUAAUUGGGGCUAAGUCGUAACAAGGUAGCCGUACCGGAAGGUGCGGCUGGAACACCUCCUUU
rnacentral:rRNA from 1 species